UUGCACGCUGGCGGCCUGCUUUACACAUGCAAGUCGAACGGCAGCGCGGGCUUCGGCCUGGCGGCGAGUGGCGAACGGGUGAGUAAUACAUCGGAACGUGCCCAGUAGUGGGGGAUAGCUCGGCGAAAGCCGGAUUAAUACCGCAUACGACCUGAGGGUGAAAGCGGGGGAUCUUCGGACCUCGCGCUAUUGGAGCGGCCGAUGGCAGAUUAGCUAGUUGGUGGGGUAAAGGCCUACCAAGGCGACGAUCUGUAGCUGGUCUGAGAGGACGACCAGCCACACUGGGACUGAGACACGGCCCAGACUCCUACGGGAGGCAGCAGUGGGGAAUUUUGGACAAUGGGCGAAAGCCUGAUCCAGCAAUGCCGCGUGUGUGAUGAAGGCCUUCGGGUUGUAAAGCACUUUUGGCGGGAACGAAAAGGACUGUGCCAAUACCACGGUUCGAUGACGGUACCCGCAGAAUAAGCACCGGCUAACUACGUG
rnacentral:rRNA from 1 species